rnacentral:rRNA from 1 species
CGGCACGCCUAACACAUGCAAGUCGAACGAAGUAGCAAUACUUAGUGGCAGACGGGUGAGUAACAUGUGGGUAUCUACCCUUCUCUACGGAAUAGCCAUUGGAAACGAUGAGUAAUACCGUAUACGCCCUUUGGGGGAAAGAUUUAUCGGAGAAAGAUCGGCCCGCGUUAGAUUAGAUAGUUGGUGGGGUAAUGGCCUACCAAGUCUACGAUCUAUAGCUGGUUUGAGAGGAUGAUCAGCAACACUGGGACUGAGACACGGCCCAGACUCC